AACGAACGCUGGCGGCGUGCUUAAUACAUGCAAGUCGUACGAGAAAGUCCUGCUUCGGCGGGGCGAGUAAAGUGGCGAACGGGUGCGUAACACGUGGGUAACCUGCCCCGAAGUCCGGGACAAGCUCCCGAAAGGGGGUCUAAUACCGGAUAAUAUCCUUAAGGGGAUUCCCUUGGGGAUCAAAGCUGGCCACUAUUUAUAAGCUAUCACUUUGGGAUGGGCCCGCGGUUCAUUAGCUUGUUGGCGAGAUAAUAGCUCACCAAGGCUACGAUGGAUAGCCGGCCUGAGAGGGUGUACGGCCACACUGGGACUGAGAUACGGCCCAGACUCCUACGGGUGGCUG
rnacentral:rRNA from 1 species